rnacentral:rRNA from 1 species
CACUCCUACGGGAGGCAGCAGUGGGGAAUAUUGCACAAUGGGCGCAAGCCUGAUGCAGCGACGCCGCGUGGGGGAUGAAGGCCUUCGGGUUGUAAACUCCUUUCGCUAGGGACGAAGCUUUUUUGUGACGGUACCUAGAUAAGAAGCACCGGCUAACUACGUGCCAGCAGCCGCGGUAAUACGUAGGGUGCGAGCGUUGUCCGGAAUUACUGGGCGUAAAGGGCUCGUAGGUGGUUUGUCGCGUCGUCUGUGAAAUUCUGGGGCUUAACUCCGGGCGUGCAGGCGAUACGGGCAUAACUUGAGUGCUGUAGGGGUAACUGGAAUUCCUGGUGUAGCGGUGAAAUGCGCAGAUAUCAGGAGGAACACCGAUGGCGAAGGCAGGUUACUGGGCAGUUACUGACGCUGAGGAGCGAAAGCAUGGGUAGCGAACAGGAUUAGAUACCCCUGUAGUCCCAU